rnacentral:rRNA from 1 species
AGUGAACGCUGGCGGUAGGCCUAACACAUGCAAGUCGAACGGCAGCACAGGAGAGCUUGCUCUCUGGGUGGCGAGUGGCGGACGGGUGAGGAAUACAUCGGAAUCUACUCUGUCGUGGGGGAUAACGUAGGGAAACUUACGCUAAUACCGCAUACGACCUACGGGUGAAAGCAGGGGACCUUCGGGCCUUGCGCGAUUGAAUGAGCCGAUGUCGGAUUAGCUAGUUGGCGGGGUAAAGGCCCACCAAGGCGACGAUCCGUAGCUGGUCUGAGAGGAUGCUCAGCCACACUGGAACUGAGACACGGUCCAGACUCCUACGGGAGGCAGCAGUGGGGAAUAUUGGACAAUGGGCGCAAGCCUGAUCUAGCCAUACCGCGUGGGUGAAGAAGGCCUUCGGGUUGUAAAGCCCUUUUGUUGGGAAAGAAAUCCAGCUGGCUAAUACCCGGUUGGGAUGACGGUACCCAAAGAAUAAGCACCGGCUAACUUCGUGCCAGCCGCCGCGGUAA